GGCCUUUUGAGUAUGAUUUAAGGUCUUGCCUGCCCAAUGAUGUAAAAGUUUAAUGGCCGCAGUAUUUUGACUGUGCAAAGGUAGCAUAAUCAUUAGUUUUUUAAUUGAAAGCUUGUAUGAAAGGUUUGAUGAGAAAAGAACUGUCUCUAUUUAAUUGUUAGAAAUUUAUUUUUAAGUUAAAAAGCUUAAAUUUUCAUUGAAGACGAGAAGACCCUAUAGAGUUUUAUUUAUAUAAAGAUGGCGAUAGUUUAGUAUUUAAAAUUUUAUUUUUAUAUAAAUUUAGUUGGGGUGAUUGAAAAAUUUAUAAAACUUUUUUUGUAUUGACACAUUUAUUUAUGAGUAUUUGAUCCUUUUUAAGAUUAUAAGAUAAAAUUACCUUAGGGAUAACAGCGUAAUUUUUCUUAGAGUUCUUAUCGAAAGAAAAGAUUGCGACCUCGAUGUUGGAUUAAAAUUAAAUUUUUGGUGUAGAAGCUAUAAAAUUAGGUCUGUUCGACCUUUAAAUUUUUACAUGAUCUGAGUUUAAACCGGUGUAAG
rnacentral:rRNA from 1 species